GAGCUACCCGGAAGCUAAAUCUUGGAAAUCACUUGUUGUUGUUGUUAUCGAGCCGAAAGUAGCUCGUCUACUUGCUAGCUGUAUAUCAUAAUGUUUUACGGAUAUUGUCAAGGUGGUUGUUUGUAUUCCAUUCAUUUUAUGAUCUUAUUUUAAAAACCCAUAUUUUGUAACUGUAACUCAUUGCUUUGAUUUAGCUGUCUAACGUUCUGUCAAGUUCGGCUUGCUAGCUAACGCCGCUAGCUAGUUAACGUUAGUUACGAAUGACAGGGACAGUCAUAUUUUCCAGGCUGUAUGAAAAAACGUUAGAACAAAAUGGAUUGCACGGCACUGGAGCACGAUGCAGUUAAAUUUGCUAAAACUGCUGUCAUCUGCGACCAGAAUGGAAAAUACAACGAGGCUGUCUUCUAUUAUAAGGAGGCGGCACAAGCCCUGAUCUACGCCGGCAUGGCAGGGUCUAAACUGGAGGGCAUCCAGGAUAAAGUCUAUGAGUACCUGGACCGGGUUCAGGCCCUGCACAAUGCUGUUCAAGCUCAAAGUAGCGAUCCUCUGAAGAGCAAGCAGCAGGUAGAUCUGGAGCGGGCCCACUUCCUGGUCACCCAGGCCUUUGAGGAGGAUGAGAAGGGCAAUGGGGACGAGGCCAUCGAGCUCUACACACAGGCCGUGGAACUCUGCAUCCAGACGUCUCAUGAUACGACAGACCAGGGGCUGCAGGGCAAACUGAAGCAGCUGGCUCGUCAGGCCCUCGAUAGGGCGGAGGGGCUGAAGGAGUCCCAGUCCGCCAGUCCCUUAGCCCAGUCGCCACAGGACAGGCCGGGGCCCUCAGGGGCCAAACAUAGUGGGGGGCCUUGCCCCGUCAGACAGUUCUUCCCCCUUGGACCUGACUUCUCCCUCCAGAACCGUCCCCAGCCAGUCAGGCCCGUCCAGUCCAGCGAGCCUCAGGGUCAGCGCUACACCUCAGAAGAGAUCGAGGUGCUCAGGAGCACGUCCAAGAUCAACGGCAUACCCUUCGUCCCCUUCAUGAGCGUAGACCUGAAGGAGAGAUUUGCCUUUCCUGUUCCAUUCUCGGACAAACUAGGCAAGCUGGCCCUGUCUCCCAAGCAGAGAACCAUCUUCUCCCGCUGGGUUCGCCCUGACGAGAUCUGCAAUAACCCCACCAUGAUCUUAUCUGUAUCCAGCUUCAGCAUCAAACAGACAGUGGUGUCUGACUGCUCGUUCGUGGCGUCGUUAGCCAUCAGCGCUGCCUAUGAGCGACGCUACAACAAGAAGCUCAUCACCAGCAUCAUCUACCCCCAGAACCGGCGCGGGGAGCCAGAGUAUAACCCCUGUGGGAAGUACAUGGUGAAGCUUCACAUCAACGGUGUGCCCAGGAAGGUCAUUAUAGACGACUUCCUGCCAUGUGGUCAGAAUGGAGAGCUGCUGUGUUCCUACUCCAGCAACAGGAACGAGCUGUGGGUCUCCCUCAUAGAGAAGGCCUACAUGAAGGUCAUGGGAGGCUACGACUUCCCCGGCUCCAACUCGAACAUCGAUCUGCACGCACUCACUGGCUGGAUCCCAGAGCGUAUCGCCAUGCAUUCAGACAAUCAGUCAUUCAUCAAGGACGACACCUUCCGCAUGCUCUACCAGAGGUUUCACCGGGGCGACGUCUUAAUCACCACAGCAACGGGGGUGAUGACAGAGGAGGAAGGCGAGAGGUGGGGCCUUGUGCCAACGCAUGCCUACGCUGUCCUGGAUAUCCGGGAGCACAAAGGGAAGCGGUUCCUGCAGCUGAAGAACCCGUGGAGCCACCUGAGGUGGAAAGGUCGCUUCAGUGAACGGGACGAGAAAAACUGGACCCCAGAACUUCUCAAAUACCUCAACUUUGACCCCAAGACCGCACAGAAGUUUGAUAACGGUGUGUUCUGGAUCACGUUUGAGGACCUGUGCCAGUACUAUGAUGUCAUCUACCUGAGCUGGAGCCCUGCCCUGUUCAGAGAGUCUUCCUGUAUCCACAGUAGCUGGGAUGGGAAGCAGGGCCCGGUGAAGGAUGCCUACAGCCUGGCCAACAACCCUCAGUACCGGCUGGAGGUGACCUGUCCUGCAGGGGGCACCGCUGUCUGGGUGCUGCUGACCAGACACAUCACUGACAAGGACGACUUUGCACAAAACAGGGAGUUCAUCACCUUGGUGGUUUACAAGACAGAGGGAAAGAAAGUUUACUACCCUGCGGACCCUCCCCCCUACAUAGAUGGGAUCAGGAUCAACAGCCCCCACUACCUGACCAAGAUGAGACUAACCAGCGCUGGAACACACACAUUCACACUGGUGGUGUCACAGUACGAGAAGCAGAACACCAUCAACUACACCCUGAGGGUCUACUCUGGAUGCAAGUUCUCCUUCUCCAAGAUCCCAACGCCCUUCACUCAUACCAAACGGAUCAAUGGCCAGUGGAAAGGGCCGAGUGCGGGGGGCUGUGGGAACUACAAGGACUCGUACAAGCACAACCCCAUCUACCAGUUUAACCUGGAGCGCCCAGGACCCAUGCUCAUAGAGCUACGAGGCUCCAGGUGACUGCAGAAGGACUACUCUCCACAGCUUUACACUCUGCCCUGACCCACCUGGAUAAAACCAACACAUAUGUGAGAAUGCUGUUCGUAGACUUUAGCUCAGCAUUCAAUACGGUCAUUCCCUCUAGGCUGGUCAUCAAACUCCAUGACCUAGGGAUCAGCCCCUCUCUCUGUAACUGGACUUUGGACUUCCUGACCAACAGGCCCCAGUCUGUCAGGUUAGACAACUUCACCUCCUCAACCCUGAACACCGGUGUGCCACAGGGCUGCGUGCUGAGCCCCCUCCUGUACUCCCUCCUCACCUGUGUUCCUGUACACAGUGUCAACACCAUCAAGUUCGUAGACGACACCACGGUGGUAGGCCUGAUCAGUGACAAUGACGAGUCAGCCUACAGGGAGGAGGUCAAGCACCUGGCUGCAUGGUGCACUGACAACAACUUGGCCCUCAAUGCAAAGAAAACCAAGGAGCUCAUUGUGGAUUACAGGAAGUCUAAAAGCAGUAGCCACGCCCCAGUUCUCAUUGAUGGCACUGAGGUGGAGCGUGUGCCCAACUUCAAAUACUUGGGUGUCUACAUCUUCGAGGACCUCUACUGGACCCUCAACACCUCAACCCUGGUCAAAAAGGCGCAGCAGCGCCUAUACUUUUUGAGGAGGCUAAAGAAGGCCCCCCUGUCUCCCAAGAUCCUGGUGAACUUUUCCCUCUGCAUGGUCGAGAGCAUUCUGACUAACUGCACCACAGUGUGGUUUGGUGGAUGCUCCGUGGCCGACCGGAAGGCCCUGCAACGGGUGGUGAAAACUGCCCAGCACAUCACUGGUGUCUGGCUCCCUGCCAUCGUAGAUCUCAAGCGCAAGCGGCGUCUGCAUAGGGCGUGCGGCAUCCUCAGGGACCCUUCACAUCCAUGCCACAAACUGUGUGCCCUUCUACCAUCAGGCAGGUAGUACAGGUCUCUACGUUCCCGCACUAGCAGGCUCAAGAACAGUUUCUUUCCAGCUACUGUAACCCUGCUGAACACUGUAACAGCCAUAUGCACCCGCCCACAUCUUAGUACUUCCUCUCGGGACCUCUUUGCACUCUUCACAGUACUACUGGACUCUGACAUUGCUUUGCAAAGUCUGUAUAAAGGACAUUACAUGUACAUGCCUACCUCGGUAACCUCAUUGCUGCUCUUCCUGUAUUUCAGUUGUACAUGCCUACCUCGGUAACCUCAUUGCUGCUCUUCCUGUAUUUCAGUUGUACAUGCCUACCUCGGUAACCUCAUUGCUGCUCUUCCUGUAUUUCAGUUGUACAUGCCUACCUCGGUAACCUCAUUGCUGCUCUUCCUGUAUUUCAGUUGUACAUGCCUACCUCGGUAACCUCAUUGCUGCUCUUCCUGUAUUUCAGUUGUACAUGCCUACCUCGGUAACCUCAUUGCUGCUCUUCCUGUAUUUCAGUUGUACAUGCCUACCUCGGUAACCUCAUUGCUGCUCUUCCUGUAUUUCAGUUGCAUGUCUCCUUGCACUUUCAUACAUCCCACUUAAUAUCAUACAUUGAACUUAAUUGUUUUACUUGUACAUUUUUUGCACUCUUUUAUUUGCACUUCUGGUCAGAUGCUAACUGUAUUUAGUUAUACUGUACUUGUUGAAUCUAAUCUAAAUGACUACAAUGCAAAAUAAUAUGCAUGGUCUGCAUUGUGUCUGACAGUCUGACUCCAAUGAGACUUUGUCAUGGCACAUCUGGAAAAUUUGAGCUGUCACAGAAUACGAUUGCCAGGUGUAAAUGUGACCAGACAGACUAACAGUCAGUUUCCAGUGUUACUCGACUCCCUUACGUCAUCCUGUAGGGGGUCAUCUUUAAUAGAUAAUCUGGUGCUCCUAAUUCAAAUCUGUCUCUCUGUCUGUAGGCAGUAGAGUUCAGGUUCUGGUUGCUUGUGGUGUUGUUAUCUUGUCUCUCCCUCUCUAGGCAGUACAGUGUGGGCUUUGAGAUGGUGACUGUGUCCACUGUAGUAGAGCCAGGACCUGCAGGCCUCCCGAAGAAGAACAGUGGAGACUACAGGUGUGGUUUCUGCUACAUGGAGGCGGACCAUGUCCCCGCUGGCAUCUACAAUGUCAU